AGAGUUUGAUUCUGGCUCAGAACGAACGCUGGCGGCGUGCUUAACACACGCAAGUCGAACGCGAAAGGGACUUCGGUCCUGAGUAAAGUGGCGCACGGGUGAGUAACGCGUGGAUAAUCUAGCCAACGGUUUGGGAUAACAUCUCGAAAGGGGUGCUAAUACCGGGUAAGACCACGGGAUCUUCGGAUUCUGCGGUAAAAGGUGGGGACCUUCGGGCCUACCGUCGUUGGAUGAGUCCGCGUACCAUUAGCUAGUUGGUAGGGUAAAGGCCUACCAAGGCAACGAUGGUUAGCUGGUCUGAGAGGAUGAUCAGCCACACUGGAACUGAGACACGGUCCAGACUCCUACGGGAGGCAGCAGUGGGGAAUUUUGCGCAAUGGGGGAAACCCUGACGCAGCAACGCCGCGUGAGUGAUGAAGGCCUUCGGGUCGUAAAGCUCUGUCAGAGGGGAAGAAAUGCGGGGUGCUAAUAUCAUUUCCGCUUGACGGUACCCUCAAAGGAAGCACCGGCUAACUCCGUGCCAGCAGCCGCGGUAAUACGGAGGGUGCGAGCGUUGUUCGGAAUUAUUGGGCGUAAAGCGCGUGUAGGCGGUUUGUUAAGUCUGAUGUGAAAGCCCCGGGCUCAACCUGGGAAGUGCAUUGGAAACUGGCAGACUUGAAUACGGGAUAGGGCAGUGGAAUUCCUAGUGUAGGAGUGAAAUCCGUAGAUAUUAGGAGGAACACCGGUGGCGAAGGCGGCUGCCUGGACCGAUAUUGACGCUGAGACGCGAAAGCGUGGGUAGCAAACAGGAUUAGAUACCCUGGUAGUCCACGCCGUAAACGAUGAGUACUAGGUGUUGCGGGUAUUGACCCCUGCAGUGCCGCAGCUAACGCAUUAAGUACUCCGCCUGGGAAGUACGGUCGCAAGACUAAAACUCAAAGGAAUUGACGG
rnacentral:rRNA from 1 species